UACGUAGGGUGCAAGCGUUGUCCGGAAUUAUUGGGCGUAAAGAGCUCGUAGGCGGUUUGUCGCGUCUGCUGUGAAAACCCGAGGCUCAACCUCGGGCCUGCAGUGGGUACGGGCAGACUAGAGUGCGGUAGGGGAGAUUGGAAUUCCUGGUGUAGCGGUGAAAUGCGCAGAUAUCAGGAGGAACACCGAUGGCGAAGGCAGGUCUCUGGGCUGUAACUGACGCUGAGGAGCGAAAGCAUGGGGAGCGAACAGG
rnacentral:rRNA from 1 species